CGUAGGCAGCAAGCGUUGUUCGGAAUUACUGGGCGUAAAGAGUGUGUAGGUGGUGUCGUAAGUUUGGUGUGAAAUCUCCCGGCUUAACUGGGAGGGUGCGCCGAAGACUGCGAUGCUGGAGUAUGGGAGAGGAAAGCGGAAUUCCUGGUGUAGCGGUGAAAUGCGUAGAUAUCAGGAGGAACACCUGCGGUGUAGACGGCUUUCUGGACCAUUACUGACACUGAGACACGAAAGCGUGGGUAGCAAACAGGAUUAGAUACCCUGGUAGUCCACGCCCUAAACGAUGCAUACUUGGUGUGAGCCAUUCAGUUGGUUCGUGCCGGAGCUAACGCGUUAAGUAUGCCGCCUGGGGAGUACGGUCGCAAGGCUG
rnacentral:rRNA from 1 species